AUGAUGGUCCCUUCGUCUCCAGCAGCCUACCGGCCACACCGCCCUACUCAGAGCCCCGGUACAGGGGUGGGGGGUGGGCCGGGGCUCUGUCACAACCAGGGGGGGGUCACCACCUCCCCACUCGUGAGCGGGGGAGGGGCUGGGGGAGGAGGAGGGAUGGUGGGUGGGGGAGGCCCGACUGGCGGCGGCCUGCUGGGGAAUUUCUUCGGCAGUCGCCGAGGCAAAGUUCCUGGUCCCCUGACGAUGACGUCGCCGACUCCGCAGGGUCCUCCGAGUCCCCUGAUGAUAUCAUCACCCCCCCACUACCCCGCCCCCGCACCUCCCAUCCCCCACCCAUCCUCCCCUUCCCCAUGCCCCUCCCCAUCGCCCAACCUCGGUCAGUCGGACUCGGGAGGAGUUGGAGGGGGAGGAGGUACGGGAGGGGGGCCGUCCAAGCUCCAGGCUCUGCACGCCCAGUACUGCCACGGCAACAGUGGAGGAGGAGGAGUCAGUGUUACUGGGCACCAGCAGCAGCAGACGCCGCCGCCACCGUACAACCAUCAUCACCGCUACCACAGUCAGAGCAUCCCGCAGCACCACGCCCUCACGCACAGGUUCUCCGCACCACCCUCGGCGGCAGGGCCCGCCCGGCUGCGCUCCCUCUCCUACCCAGCAGCAUCAGAGGAUACAACAUGGCGCCGCCCAGCACCCGCGCUACAAUCUGGGCUUCAUCACGCCCCCGCCGCUGUCCCCUCACUCCCCCGUAACCCCUACUACCCCGCACGGACUCUACCACUCGCACCCUGCGGCGGGACGGCCGGGUGGAGGCGGCAAGCUCCCGCUGACCAUCUCGCACUCGCAGCCCCACCCCCACGCUCACACUCACUCUCACAACCACGCCGCGCACACACACUCCCCGCUCAGCCCCUCCCCCUCCGCCUCCCCCUCCACCCACUUCAUUUUCUCUACCCCACCACCCCAGACGCCGUCAGCACGCCUUCUCACCCAGACGCCUCCUCAGCCCUACGGACCCCAGUAUCCACCCCUCACCUCCAUCCCACCUCCUCCUCCGCACUCACCCUUACCUCCCCCGUCGACCGGCCCGCUCUCCCUGCACCAAGGGGCAGGGGGAGGGCAAGGGGGAGGUCCCAAAUCGAAACCCGUCAGCCGGAUCAGCACGGUUGUGUGAGGAGGCAGAAGCUGAGGACGGUGGUCCGCCACCCCGCAGUGAGCCACCGGGGGGCGGUCAUGAGAGGGAGCAGGAGGGGGAGGAGGAGAGGAGGAGGAGGAGGAGGAGGAGGAGGGGGAGGAGGGCAAAUGCAGGUGUAUCAAAAUGGCCGCCUGGUGAGGAGGAGAGCACUGAGAGCGGGGAAGAGGAAAUUACUCAGCUUGUGUUAUUUUCACAUCCACUUCCCGCGCAAAUAA
rnacentral:lncRNA from 1 species